UGGGCAGAUGAUCGACAAGUUUCGAAAAGUUAUCAUGUAUAAAUCCAGAAAUGGCAAGUUUUCGAAAAAGACAUUUUCCAAGAAAAGGUUUUAGAAAGAUGGCUUCCAAUUAAAUGUCAAGAUGCAGACCAAGAAUUCAGUCAGUAAACUAAAAUACUCGACUUAUAGGUUAAAAUAAUACUCUACCAACAAAUUGAAGUACA
rnacentral:lncRNA from 1 species